GAUGAACGCUAGCUACAGGCUUAACACAUGCAAGUCGAGGGGCAGCAUGGUCUUAGCUUGCUAAGGCCGAUGGCGACCGGCGCACGGGUGAGUAACACGUAUCCAACCUGCCGUCUACUCUUGGACAGCCUUCUGAAAGGAAGAUUAAUACAAGAUGGCAUCAUGAGUCCGCAUGUUCACAUAAUUAAAGGUAUUCCGGUAGACGAUGGGGAUGCGUUCCAUUAGAUUGUAGGCGGGGUAACGGCCCACCUAGUCUUCGAUGGAUAGGGGUUCUGAGAGGAAGGUCCCCCACAUUGGAACUGAGACACGGUCCAAACUCCUACGGGAGGCAGCAGUGAGGAAUAUUGGUCAAUGGGCGAGAGCCUGAACCAGCCAAGUAGCGUGAAGGAUGACUGCCCUAUGGGUUGUAAACUUCUUUUAUAAAGGAAUAAAGUCGGGUAUGGAUACCCGUUUGCAUGUACUUUAUGAAUAAGGAUCGGCUAACUCCGUG
rnacentral:rRNA from 1 species